rnacentral:piRNA from 1 species
UAGAGAUUUGUCUCAGGUAUCAUA